rnacentral:lncRNA from 1 species
UGAUAGCAUUCAAACGCAUCAGGUUAUACGGAAGAGAAAUUCCGAGGCAGAGGAAAAAGCCCAUCACCAUCACCACUGAAGACGCACACAUAUAAAACCACAGCACAGGGAAGGUGUUGACCUCAACCUGGCCAAGUGGCAACAGGAGGAGGAAGAUUUACAAGGAAAAUUAAAGUUGAGGGAACAUCUGUCUCAAACUGCUGGCAAGAGUGAAGCUACACCAGCUCCUUCAAAGAACACUGAUUUAGAGAUGAAACAGCUGCAGUGCAAACUAAAGAAUUCGAACACUGAGAUCACUAAGCAAUCGACCACCAUUAAGCCACUAAGAAAACAAGUCCUGGAAAAGGAAGAACGGAUUCGCUAACGACAGGCCGAGUACGGUCCCUCUUCUAUCCAUUGUGUCUGGUGACACCCAGUGGCAGCUGUGGAAUUCCUACAACGUCAACUGCUCCUAGAUCCUUAAGAGAACGAUGUACUCUCUUCAUUGCAGUCUUGCAUAGUGUUACAGGGUUUGGUUUUGUUUUUUUAAACUAGAGUAGUUUAUGGUUAAAUUGCGUUGUUUUAUUUUUGUUUUUUUUUUUAAAUUGGCGAGUGAUAAGCUGG